CAUCUCGGUUGAUAAUUGGACAAUGAGCUCUCGGGCUUUAAAAUGUCGACUUCUCUUAAGAAAUUGGGCAUAGAAGAAUUGGAUGGAAACUCAGAUGUAAGCAAGCUCUUUCCAUCAUUAGCUAAGUUGAAGAAACUUGAUCAUCUAAUCUUAAGAGGGUAUCGUUUCAGAAGCAUGCCUUGUUUGGAUGAGCUUGUUAUUCUACACAGUCUCAAAACACUCAAAUUGGAUGGACUCCUUGCAGGUUACCAAAUAAUCUCCCUCCAAAUAUUGAAUCUUGACGUUGAUUGAUAACUGUCUUGAUGAAGACCCCAUGCCAAUACUAGAGAAGCUACCCAGACUAAAACACCUCAAAUUGCAAAACGCAUACACUGGUCAACAAAUGGUGAUCUUGCACGACAGCUUUCCCAGUCUCGAGUCCUAUGCAUCGAAGAGUUAUGGAAUCUGAGAAAUGUUCAAUGUGGAAAAGGUGCAUAUAUAAGUUGGCUCAAGAAAAUAGAAAUCCACGAUUGUCCAAAUCUGGAUACCCUCCCGAAAGAGAUUGUGUCGAUGAUAUUUUUGGAGGAGUUAAAGAUGGUGACAACCAAAAGCACUGCAACAAAGAUCAGGAAUUCAAACCUAAUCUCCAAACUAAGGAUCGUGAAUAUAAAUCCAUGAGCUAGCGUUGUUGUUACGUACGUUUUGCUUGUUGGCGUUUUGUUCAGCUCCCUGCGCCGCUGCAGCGGUGAGUUUGCAGAAACGUUGUCGUUUUCAGAUCUAUAUCCGCCGCGUCUCAGCCAGGAACUCGUCCAUCGGCUCCGCCACGACCUCAAGCACUCAGCAUCUUAUUUUUCAUAUCCAUGGAAAAUUGAAGGCAAAUCGAUCGUGGUGGGAGGAAGGUGUGGCGGAUGCGACCGUUUGAGCGGAUCGAGGGGCAGCAGGCGGCAGAGGACCAGAUGUCGGCUGCGGGUGCUGGCGUUCACUGAUGCAGUGGAGAGAAGAGGGAGAGAAGAGAGAGACAGAAGGGGAGAGAGAGCCGCGAAGGAGGCAAGAAAGGGAGAGAGAGGUAGAGAAAAUGAGAGGAAGAUUAGUGUUUACCAAAUGAUCUCCCUCCAAAAAUUGAAUCAUUGGCGUUGGUUAAUAGCUGUCUUGAUGAAGACCCCAUGCCAAUACAGACCGUGAAUAUCAAUCCAUGAGCUCGCGGAGUUGUCUACAUUUUCUUCGCUUUUCCCCUUUCGUGAUUGUGUGUUUGUAAAUGACAAUUGUGGUUUCUUCAUAUCUUUCUUGGGUGCAAUGUGAUCACUUUCUAUUUGGAUUGCUAUAGUAUCCUUUGUUUCUCCCUUGAUGUUGGGAUAUAUAUAUAUCAUUGAGUUGUUAAGGACAAUCAUAUCAACAAAGUAAUUUUGGGUUUAGUUCCAAUAAAAUGAUUUACAAAAAAUAACUUUUUGUAAAUUCAAGCUUAAUUUUUGUAGAUUGCAUAUUAUAUUAAAUUGUAUUAUGUGAAGACAUAGUUUAAUUCUAUAUAUUUGACUGUUCAUAUUAAUUUGCAUAAUGGUGUCAUUAAAAGUUUGGUUUGGGAUUUAUUCAAAGAAUGAGUUGGGCCUUAAGAUUUGGUUGGAUCAUGAGUACAGAUGAUGAUAAUGAAAUAGGAUUGAUAUGAUCUACCAUAUUUUAUUAAAUCGACAAUCACAUAAGUUGAAAAUUGAUGAAAAUAUACUUUUUCUCUCAUUUUUCAUUAACAUAAACGCACCCUAACAGUUUUAUUGAUUUCUUUUUAAAUUUUAAUUAUAGUAAAAUGAAUAAGUCAAUUUCAUAAAUGCAAUUAAUUAAAAAAAUUAUUCGAAACUAUAUAGUAAAUUAAUAAUAUUUAUAUAUUAUAUUUUCAUCGUACAAAAUCACAUAUAUUAAACGUGCAUAGCACAUUCCUUAUGCUAAUUUUAAUUAAAAAAUAAUUAUCAAACGCAUAAUGCAUGUGGGUUAUUUAAAUACUAUCAAUAAACUUGUUUUUUAUCCCUUCAAAUUUUAUGUGUUAAAUAGUAAGUCAACACUUCAGCUGGCUUGGGAAUCGGGAUAAGCUCGUGAGUCGUGAUACUAUUAUUUUAUUAGUGAUUGUUAAAUAUGCACAUAAGCACAUUAUUUGGCUUCUUCAACUGGAUAUUCAGUAUAAUUAUUCACAACUUUUAAAUUUAAACCCCCAAUUUAAAAAAAAAACACGAAAUUCACUAUUUAGAGCUCCAAAUCUAAUCACAGUAAAUACCGCCGGAUUCCGCCGCGCCGUUCGCCGACCGUUUCUCGCUCGGAGCCACCACCUCCUUCCGUCGCCAGCAGCUAAGGUAUGCUAUCUUAGCUCUGGUUUACUGAAUCCAAUACCUGUCUUCUUUUUCUCGUCGAACACAAAUUUACAAUGCUUGCUUACUUGCUCUUGUCAAAAUGGAAUCAGAAUUAGUUGUAUCAGUUGAAAAUAUGAUAAGGUAAGAAGAAGAAUAUGAGUCUUUCACAGUGUGAUUUAUCGAUUACUCAAGCUCCUCUACAAGCAGCAAGGUCCAUUUCUUUCUAUGAUUUUUCUUUCUUUAUUUUUUUGCCAAGAAAAAUAGACUUGAACUUGUGUUUGUGUUGAAUUAUUCUGUUUGUGUUUGUUUUGAAAGAUCAAUAAUCCUUCUUCAUUUUAGCUUCGGUGUUGAAUUGUUCUGUUUGUGUUUGUGUUUUUGUUUCUUUUGAAGCUCCUCUACAAGCACCUCAUUUGUUGAAAAUGAAGUAUUUUAAGUAUUUUAUUGCUUCUAUUUAACCUACCCAAUAAAAUAUAUGACUUGUUGAGUUUGACCAUAAUUGUAUCUGUGGCUUUGUGAGAUUUCUAGUUUAUGAUCCCUCCCAACUCUGUUCUGACUUGUUCAAAUAUAUCAAACUCUACCUUAAUCAAAUCACUCUCAGCUGUUCAGAGACAAGCAAAAAGAUAAGGAGAGAGAGCGAGGAUUAACAAGUAAAAGAAAUAUUAAUAUAUUUUGGUGGUAGGGUCGAUAUUGAAUCAACUAUUUGGAUUUCUCUUAAACUUGUUUUUUACAAUCCUAUGUUAGUUGCAGUAAGGCAACACCUUGUUUCUUGAGAAGAGCAGUAAUUCAAAAAAAAUAUUCCCUCCGUUCACGAAAUAAACUCUCAUUUGAUGGUCGGCACAGAAACUAAGAAAGCUGAUGAAGGUGUCGUGAGUGAAAUAUAAGGGUAGUUAACUAAAGUGAUAAAAGUAUUGUGGGAUGGGCCCAUGAGUGGUAAAUGGUAAUAAAUAUAGAAUAUAAAAAUGAUAAAGGUGUUGUGGGUGGGCCCAUGAAUGGUAAAUGGUACUCCCUCCGUCCCAUUGGGCUUGUCCCAUUUUCUUUUGGGCAUGGUUAUUAAGGAGAGUUAAAUUAGUGUAGUAAAAGUGUGUAAAGGCAUGAGUCUCAUAUUGAUUGUAGUGUAAAAUCAUUACCAAAAAUAGAAACAGGACAAGAUCAAUGGGACAGAGAGAGUUGUAUAUAUAGAAUAUAAAAAUGAUAAAUGUGUUGUGGGGUGGGCCCAUGAGUGGUAAAUGAUAAUAAAUGUAGGAAAUAAGGGAGGACAUGAUUAUCCAAAAGUUUAUUUGGUAGACAGAAAUUUAAGGGCAAAUGAGAGUUUAUUUCGUGGACGGAGAGAGUACUAUCUUACUUCAUCCUCAAAGGCAGUACAUCAUAACCAAGACUUGAAGGUUUAUUUCUAAACCAUAGCAGAAUACUGCAAAACUCUUGCUAUACUUUCCUUUUAUCUAUGUUUUCCUGCUAAUGUUGAAAGCUCUAACUGAAGAAACACAUAAAUACAAAUAUCCAUUAAACUGCAUAAGCUUAUGUACACAACAGUAAAGAUGCGAAUGUUUUUAACUUUUUACACAAAGAAUUUAGGCUUAAUUAAAAGUUGGGGCUGGUAUUACUAAAGUUAGUUUUAUUAAUUUAAUAAACUAACCUAAUGGGUUACAUCUUACAUGAUUGAUUGAAGAUUAGACUUGCCUAAUUAAUUUAAUUAACUAGUACGCCCGUCCGUGCACCGACAUUAAACGUUGUGUUUAAAUAGAUAAAUAUAAAUAUUAAAUCGAAAACUUGCAUACCGUCAAAGUUUUAAAUCAAAAUGUUUGCGCUUCAUUAAAUUUAUUUAAGCCAAAAAAUAGGGUGUAUAAUUUCUUUAAACUCCAAUUUUAAUAAUGAAUGCUAAUUUUGAUUUAUUAUUAAGUAAUCUUUUCACAUGUAGCAUUUCCUAGUCAAGUUGCCAAGUUGGACAGAAAAUGCGUCGUUGCUUGCGAACCUUGAAUAUUUAAGAAGUAAAAGAAAUAUUAAUAUGUUUUGGUGCUAGAAUCGAUAUUGGAUCAACUAUUUGGAUUUCUCUUAAACUUGUUUUUUACAAUCUUAUGUCAACACCUUGUUUCUUGUGAAAUGCAGGAUGAAUAUUUAAUAAUAGAAAGAAUUUAACUAAGCCACCAAAUCUUUUUACAGUUUCUAUUGUAAAUAUCAAAAAGCGAAAGCAAAAGCUAAGUAAAAGGGUGGAUUGAUUCAGAAAGUACGUAGAUCAAGCCGAGUAAGAAGAGGAAUCACAAGAAAGUACUUUUCUUUUUCUUUAAUCCAAAAAAAAUUAAUUUUUUGAAAUCUUUCACUUCAGGAAAUUUUGUUAAACCCAAAAUCAUUUGGAUGCCUGAAGAAAUUGAUAUUCUUGUUAGAUUUUAAUUUCUUUAAUCCUAGUCUUGUUUGUUAAUAGCUGUUAAUAUUCUUUCGUAAUAUUAAGAAUAAUAUGCACCAGCAAAUUUUCACGUUCAACUUUCAAAGUUUUCGAUGAAGAGGAGCAAAACCAUGAAAAUAUAAAUGAAUAAUAUCACAUUCCACUGGAUUGCACACAAUAUGAUGAAACUUUACAAAAGCAUUGAAUUGAUCGCAAAUUGUAUCACCAAAAUUUCUUGAUUAGAGACUUAUCUUUUAUGUUGCAAUUUACUGUAUGCUUGUGAAAAUUAGUGUAGCUUGAUUCAUGUAGUUUGAUGAGGAGGUAUUCUGUACAGCCGGUUGUAUACGGUUGUAUGAUACAACCGGGUCACCAAUAGGUCGUGGACUAUCCAAAUCCAAAUACAUAUAGUGAGUUAAAUUUGGGCAAGGUAAGAACCAUGAUAUUUUGUGUAGUUGAUAUUUGCAAUUGGGAUCGAACGUUUUAGUGUGCACGUGUGUCCCAUUUUUACUUAUUUUAAUUUCUCUUGUACAUUUUUUAUUCAAUUUUUAUUUUUUGUGAUUUUAUGAUUGUUAAUUAGAAUUCAUUAUGCCCAUUUAGGACAUGUAAUUAAUUUUAAUUUUUAGAAUAAAUUAAUUGUUUACUAGGACUGAUUAUUACAUAAUUUGUAAUUUAAAUAUGUGCAAAUUAGUUUUAAAGAGUCUAAUAAUAUAAUACUAACUAGUAUAUCACAUGUGCGGUGCACAAAAACUAUCAUACUAUCCGCACAAUAUAUAUAUGAAACACAUUAUUAUAGUUAUUAAUCUAAUCUAAUAAUAUUAAAAUUUAACUUUUAAUGUUUAUAAUCUUUCUUUUUCUUUUCAUCUCAAAAUAUAAUGUAAAAUACAUAUUUAAUGCUAACGAUGGCUAAACGUGAGUGAUGCUCACAUAAGGUGCUCACAUAAGGUAUGUAGCAUAGCAUUCCUCAUACUAUGUAUAUAUACAUACUAUAUAUACACAUAUAUAUUAUACUUAUUAAGUUGAUAAUAUUGUUAUUAUAUAGUACUACAUUUUAAAUCAAAUACCAAUAUUUAACUUCACAUAAUUUUUUUUUACUAAUUAAUUUAACUCAUAAAUAACGAAUUCUGACAUUUUUACGUAAUUUAAAAUUUUAAAAAUAAAUAAAUAUGUCAUGGAUCGUACAUCGCACGGGAGGACGUACUAGUAUUUAUUUAAAAUUCAAUAUACAUAUCAUAUGCACCCAUCAUCCCUGAAACAUCUUCAUUUAUUUCCUUUUUCUGUCCGUCCCCAAAACAUAUUCCCAAUGUCUUUUGGAAAUAAUGUCACUUUCUUUUCAUAUAUUUACACACACUGCCAAUAAUAGAUCUGCUUCUUUUCAUUUUAAUUGGUUCAUUAGUCAUUAUCAUCACUUUUUUUUUCUUUUUUUUUUUAAUUUAUGGGACCCUUCUCUACUCAUCAAAUACACGUUUAACUUUUCAUUUAAUAUAUGUAUUGCACAAGUUUAUAUAUAAAAAAUAAAAGGAUCUUUCGCUUGAGUAAAUUCUAUUCAACCCAAAAUCAUUUUAUUCUACACUAAUGAUUUAUCGAUUUGUUGGAAUUUGUUAUUUCCUAGCUACUAAUGUUGUUAAAUUACCCAUUACGGCAGUUUCGUCCAAGCAGAAGCAUGUCCGAGGCCCUCCUCUUUUCGGUGAUACAGAAGUUGGACAUCACUUAUCGAGAGGAAAGGGAAACAUAUGAGCAUAUGGAAAGGGUAAUUAAAGAGAUGAGAGAGAUUCUGAAUAUUGUGAGAGAUAAGAAAUUGGAAGAUGGGAGAAGACUAAAUUUUUUAGUAUCCGACCUUGUCGACGUGGCUGACGAUGCCCUCGACCUUUUCACAAAACCCGGUGACUUUUCUGCGUUCUAUGAGUCUAUCCAUAGUUGGAUGGGAGAGAUCAAAAGGCACAUGCUUAAACUAGGCGAUGAUGAGUCCAACAUGACAUCAUCAGAAAAUGUUGAAGAUGAUGUAGAUGUGGUGGGCUUGGACAAAGAUGUCGAAAUGCUGCUUCGCACAAAUAUUAUUGGUGGGCAAGGAUAUUGGAAGCCUGUUCGUUAUUCAAAGGGAUGCCUGGUUGUUGGAAAGACAACUCUUGCCAAAGAGAUAUACAACCAUGCAACCGUCGUCGAGCGAUUCGACCGCCGUGCUUGGGUAUGCCUUUCUACUAAUGUAACUCUUAAAGAGCUGCUUAUCAAACUAAUACAACAGGUAGAAGAUCCUCAGAAUCUCCAUACAUCUUCGUUAUUGGAGAAUAUGGACAACCGAAGCCUCCGAGAUAUGCUUACCCAACACCUGCAAGGAACGCGAUAUUUGAUAGUACUCGACGACCUGCCCAGACAAAUGCGCUUGUCUUUCUUGGAAGCUCUUCCAGAAGAAUGUAUGUAUCAUCAUCUUUCUGCUUAUAAUCUAGUCGUGUUGCGCUAACUUAGAUUUUAACUUAACUGCAAUAACCUUCUGACUGUUCCUUUUUAAUUUGCAUUGUUCUUAUGUAAGCAGUCAAUGGAAGUAGAUUGCUCUUCACAAGUCACACGACGCAAAUGGACAUAUAUGUAGCCGGAGAAGAUGUUCAUCAAAUGAAAACUUUAGAUUCUAAGAAGAGCUGGCAAUUGUUUUUGAAAACAAUAAACCAUGGCAAUAAACUGACGGGUGAGCACAAAUUCCCAAUGAACUUGGAACAUAUGGCGAAACAAAUGUUGAGAAAAUGUGAUGGCCUUCCAUUAGCUAUAAAAGAGGUUGGAAAGCAGUUAGCGGAAAGAAAACUCUCAGGGGGGAGUGAAUGGGAAGAACUUCUUGAAUCAGUUGAUUUUGGUUCAACAUUGAAGUUAUUGGAACCAUUUUAUCAAAAGUUGGAUCCCAGACUGGAGUCAUGUUUCUUGUCUAUGGCCUUCUUUAGGGAAAAUACAACUUUGAAGGCAGAAAAGGUGACAGAGAUUUGGGUUGCAGGAGGAGUAGUGGAUUCAAGAUAUAACUGUGGAUUCAACUUAUUUGGUUUAAUCAAUGAAUCUGUUAUUGAAGUCAGGGAAAAGAACACAGAGUAUCGCAUGAAUGUUGUGCUGCACAUGCUAUCCAUCCAAAAAGCAGAGGAGAAGCUAGGUCUUGAGAUACUAAGGAACAAUGGAAAUAAUAAACCCUCUGAGAGUCCUCGUCAUCAUCGUGUUAUCAUUUGUAGUAGAGACAAGUUCAACCACUCCACGGAUCAAGAUAAACAUAUUGUUUCUCUCUUCUUCCAUGGAGGUGGCUACUUGGACACUAGUCCGUCUUAUUGGGAGAGCUUUGAACUACUGAAGAUACUUGACUUGGAAGAUUUUGGAUUGAAGAUUUUACCAGAAAGUAUUGGCACAUUGGUGAAACUAAGAUACUUGGGAUUGAGAAACAAUUAUGUAAAAGUGCUUCCAGACUCAUUGGGGUGCUUGGAAAAGCUUGAGGUUCUUGACAUAGCUCAAAACUUUAUGGUGCAGGUGCCGGAUAUCAUAUGGAAAAUGGACAGCCUUGUUCACAUCUACAUGUCUGAUGUCAUUUGCCAGAAGCCUUUGAAGAUAGAUGCGCUACAGCUUCUGGAGACCUUAACCUACGUUUCGGUUGAUAAUUGGACAUAUGCGCUCCCGGGAUUAAAAAUGUUGACUUCUCUUAAGAAAUUGGGCAUAGAAGGAUUGGAUGGAAACUCAGAUGUAAGCAAGAUGAUGGCAUCAUUGGCUGACUUGAAGAAUCUUGAGAACCUAAUCUUAAGAGGGUAUCGUUUCAGAAGCAUGCCUUGUUUGGAUGAGCUUCGUAUUCUACACAGUCUCAAAACACUCAAAUUGGAUGGACUCCUUGCCAGGUUACCA
rnacentral:lncRNA from 1 species